AGAGUUUGAUCCUGGCUCAGAUUGAACGCUGGCGGCAUGCCUUACACAUGCAAGUCGAACGGUAACAGGUUAAGCUGACGAGUGGCGAACGGGUGAGUAAUGUAUCGGAACGUGCCCAGUCGUGGGGGAUAACUACUCGAAAGAGUGGCUAAUACCGCAUGAGACCUGAGGGUGAAAGCGGGGGAUCGCAAGACCUCGCGCGAUUGGAGCGGCCGAUAUCAGAUUAGCUAGUUGGCGGGGUAAAAGCCCACCAAGGCGACGAUCUGUAGCUGGUCUGAGAGGACGACCAGCCACACUGGGACUGAGACACGGCCCAGACUCCUACGGGAGGCAGCAGUGGGGAAUUUUGGACAAUGGACGAAAGUCUGAUCCAGCCAUGCCGCGUGCGGGAAGAAGGCCUUCGGGUUGUAAACCGCUUUUGUCAGGGAAGAAACGACGUCCUCUAAUACAGGGUGUUAAUGACGGUACCUGAAGAAUAAGCACCGGCUAACUACGUGCCAGCAGCCGCGGUAAUACGUAGGGUGCAAGCGUUAAUCGGAAUUACUGGGCGUAAAGCGUGCGCAGGCGGUUAUGCAAGACAGAUGUGAAAUCCCCGGGCUCAACCUGGGAACUGCAUUUGUGACUGCAUGGCUAGAGUACGGUAGAGGGGGAUGGAAUUCCGCGUGUAGCAGUGAAAUGCGUAGAUAUGCGGAGGAACACCGAUGGCGAAGGCAAUCCCCUGGACCUGUACUGACGCUCAUGCACGAAAGCGUGGGGAGCAAACAGGAUUAGAUACCCUGGUAGUCCACGCCCUAAACGAUGUCAACUGGUUGUUGGGAGGGUUUCUUCUCAGUAACGUAGCUAACGCGUGAAGUUGACCGCCUGGGGAGUACGGCCGCAAGGUUGAAACUCAAAGUAAUUGACGGGGACCCGCACAAGCGGUGGAUGAUGUGGUUUAAUUCGAUGCAACGCGAAAAACCUUACCUACCCUUGACAUGUCUGGAAUCCUGAAGAGAUUUGGGAGUGCUCGAAAGAGAGCCAGAACACAGGUGCUGCAUGGCCGUCGUCAGCUCGUGUCGUGAGAUGUUGGGUUAAGUCCCGCAACGAGCGCAACCCUUGUCAUUAGUUGCUACGAAAGGGCACUCUAAUGAGACUGCCGGUGACAAACCGGAGGAAGGUGGGGAUGACGUCAGGUCAUCAUGGCCCUUAUGGGUAGGGCUACACACGUCAUACAAUGGCCGGUACAGAGGGCUGCCAACCCGCGAGGGGGAGCCAAUCCCAGAAAACCGGUCGUAGUCCGGAUCGUAGUCUGCAACUCGACUGCGUGAAGUCGGAAUCGCUAGUAAUCGCGGAUCAGCUUGCCGCGGUGAAUACGUUCCCGGGUCUUGUACACACCGCCCGUCACACCAUGGGAGCGGGUUCUGCCAGAAGUAGUUAGCCUAACCGCAAGGGGGGCGAUUACCACGGCAGGGUUCGUGACUGGGGUGAAGUCGUAACAAGGUA
rnacentral:rRNA from 1 species